UACAGAGGGUGCAAGCGUUAAUCGGAAUUACUGGGCGUAAAGCGCGCGUAGGCGGCUGAUUAAGUCGGAUGUGAAAGCCCCGGGCUCAACCUGGGAACUGCAUUCGAUACUGAUCGGCUAGAGUAUGAGAGAGGGAGGUAGAAUUCCACGUGUAGCGGUGAAAUGCGUAGAUAUGUGGAGGAAUACCGGUGGCGAAGGCGGCCUCCUGGCUUAAUACUGAC
rnacentral:rRNA from 1 species